CUUAUCCUUUGUUGCCAGCGAUUAGGUCGGGAACUCAAAGGAGACUGCCAGUGAUAAACUGGAGGAAGGUGGGGAUGACGUCAAGUCAUCAUGGCCCUUACGACCAGGGCUACACACGUGCUACAAUGGCGCAUACAAAGAGAAGCGACCUCGCGAGAGCAAGCGGACCUCAUAAAGUGCGUCGUAGUCCGGAUUGGAGUCUGCAACUCGACUCCAUGAAGUCGGAAUCGCUAGUAAUCGUGGAUCAGAAUGCCACGGUGAAUACGUUCCCGGGCCUUGUACACACCGCCCGUCACACCAUGGGAGUGGGUUGCAAAAGAAGUAGGUAGCUUAACCUUCGGGAGGGCGCUUACCACUUUGUGAUUCAUGACUGGGGUGAAGUCGUAACAAGGUAACCGUAGGGGAACCUGCGGUUGGAUCACCUCCUUACCUUAAAGAA
rnacentral:rRNA from 1 species